CAAAGGAUAGUUUAAAAAAAAUUCUAGUUUUGGGGAUUAGUAAUAGGGGUUAGAGUCCCCUUCUUUUGA
rnacentral:tRNA from 1 species